rnacentral:sRNA from 1 species
UUUGACCGGUUCGUGGCAGCUGGAGUCGUCUUCGGGACGCGCCUUCUCUUCGCCUUUCGCUGCAGUCCGUCUAUUUCUUUCUCCAGGAAGAAAAAUGGCAUCCAUUGCAGUUGAUCCACAACCGAGUGUGGUGACUCGGGUGGUCAACCUGCCCUUGGUGAGCUCCACGUAUGACCUCAUGUCCUCAGCCUAUCUCACUACAAAGGACCAGUAUCCCUACCUGAAGUCUGUGUGUGAGAUGGCAGAGAACGGUGUGAAGAUCAUCACCUCCGUGGCCAUGACCAGUGCUCUGCCCAUCAUCCAGAAGCUAGAGCCGCAAAGUGAGUUCUGAUUUUUCAAGAUGCAAGUCAAGGGAUUGGUCAGUGGUGAGCCCCUGAGCUCACAGCAGUAACAUCUGGAACUCCUCAGCCCUUCCUUGGGGAAUACACUGCCUUUGCCUAGAAACUUUCAGGUGACCCUCGUUACCGUAAAAGGCCUGUUUCUUUUCUUUUCUUUUUUUUUUUUUUUUUGAGAUGGAGUCUCACUCUAUCACCCAGGCUGGAGUUCAGUGGCGCGAUCUCGGCUCACCGCAACCUCUGCCGGCUGGGUUCAAGCGAUUCUCCUGCCUCAGCCUCCUGAGUAGCUGGGACUACAGGCUCCCACCACCAUGCCCAGCUAAUUUUUGUAUUUUUAGUAGAGACGUGGUUUCACAAUAUUGGCCAGGCUUAACUCCUGACUUUGUGAUCCACCCACCUCUGCCUCCCGAAGUGCUGGGAUUACAGGUGUGAGCCACCACGCCUGUCCAUAGAAGGCCUGUUGC